UACGGGGGGUGCGAGCGUUGUCCGGAAUCACUGGGCGUAAAGGGCGCGUAGGUGGUCUGAUAAGGGUGUGGUGAAAGUCCGGGGCUCAACCCCGGAUCUGCCGUGCCGACUGUCAGACUCGAGGACUGUAGAGGCAGGCGGAAUUCCGGGUGUAGCGGUGGAAUGCGUAGAGAUCUGGAGGAACACCGGUGGCGAAGGCGGCAUCCUGGACCGGUAUUGACGCUGAGGCGCGAAAGCUAGGGGAGCAAACGGG
rnacentral:rRNA from 1 species